rnacentral:rRNA from 1 species
GAUGAACGCUAGCUACAGGCUUAACACAUGCAAGUCGAGGGGAAACGACAUCGAAAGCUUGCUUUUGAUGGGCGUCGACCGGCGCACGGGUGAGUAACGCGUAUCCAACCUGCCCAUCACUUGGGGAUAACCUUGCGAAAGUAAGACUAAUACCCAAUGAUAUCUCUAGAAGACAUCUGAAAGAGAUUAAAGAUUUAUCGGUGAUGGAUGGGGAUGCGUCUGAUUAGCUUGUUGGCGGGGUAACGGCCCACCAAGGCAACGAUCAGUAGGGGUUCUGAGAGGAAGGUCCCCCACAUGGGAACUGAGACACGGUCCAAACUCCUACGGGAGGCAGCAGUGAGGAAUAUUGGUCAAUGGGCGAGAGCCUGAACCAGCCAAGUAGCGUGCAGGAAGACGGCCCUAUGGGUGGUAAACUGCUUUUAUAAGGGAAUAAAGUGAGAGUCGUGACUCUUUUUGUAUGUACCUUAUGAAUAAGGACCGGCUAAUUCCGUG